AUUGAACGCUGGCGGCAUGCCCUACACAUGCAAGUCGAACGGCAGCGCGGACCUCGGUCUGGCGGCGAGUGGCGAACGGGUGAGUAAUGUAUCGGAACGUACCAUUGAGUGGGGGAUAACGUAGCGAAAGUUACGCUAAUACCGCAUAUUCUCUCCGGAGGAAAGCAGGGGACCGCAAGGCCUUGCGCUCUUUGAGCGGCCGAUAUCAGUCUGGCUAGUUGGUGGGGUAAAAGCUCACCAAGGCGACGAUCUGUAGCGGGUCUGAGAGGAUGGUCCGCCACGCUGGAGCUGAGACACGGUCCAGACUCCGACGGGAGGCAGCAGUGGGGAAUUGUGGCGAAAGGGGGCAACGCUGGUCCAGCCAGGCCUCGUGCGUGAAGAUGGCCUUCGGGUGGUAAAGCUCUUUCGGCCGAGAAAGAAUCGCAUGGAUUAAUACUCUGGGUGGAUGAUGGUACCGGAGUAAGAAGCACCGGCUAAUUACGUGCCAGCCGCCGCGGUAACAC
rnacentral:rRNA from 1 species